CCUACGGGUGGCAGCAGUGAGGAAUAUUGGUCAAUGGGCUCAAGCCUGAACCAGCCAAGUCGCGUGAGGGAUGACGGUCCUAUGGAUUGUAAACCUCUUUUGUCGGGGAGCAAGGCCCGCCACGUGUGGCGGGACGGAGAGUACCUGAAGAAAAAGCAUCGGCUAACUCCGUGCCAGCAGCCGCGGUAAUACGGAGGAUGCGAGCGUUAUCCGGAUUUAUUGGGUUUAAAGGGUGCGUAGGCGGAUUGUAAAGUCAGCGGUAAAAUGUCGGGGCUCAACCCGGGCCGGCCGUUGAAACUGGGGAUCUUGAGUGGGCGAGAAGUAUGCGGAAUGCGUGGUGUAGCGGUGAAAUGCAUAGAUAUCACGCAGAACUCCGAUUGCGAAGGCAGCAUACCGGCGCCCAACUGACGCUGAGGCACGAAAGCGUGGGGAUCGAACAGGAUUAGAUACCCGUGUAGUC
rnacentral:rRNA from 1 species